rnacentral:lncRNA from 1 species
GGUUUGGGUCUUAUGAUUUAAGACUUCUUUGUUCAAUUGGCAUAUAGACUGGGGUUUUGGUAGAAAAAAAACAAACAAACAAGGUAUUUAGAUUCUUAUUUUGGAGUCCAAGAUUCCGAGCUAUGUGUCCUGACAGACACUCAACUGUUGGGGCUGGAGAACUGGCUCAAUGGCUGUUUAAUGGUUUUGAGAAGGACCCCAGUUAAGUUCACAGUACCCACAUGACAGCUCAUAACAGCCUAUACCUCCAGUUCUAGGGACUCCCAACGCUUUAUUCUAGCCUUCAUGGGCUUCUGCUCCCAAAUGUUGUACAUAUAGUCAUGCUAGUUCAUACAUACGCAUUUUAGAAAUCUUAAAAUCUCAACUGAUUUGCACAUCUAACUACACAGGAGAAUACGGGUGUUUCCUCCAUACAGUGAUGAGCUCAUACUUAAUAAUGGAGUGCAUCUUUUAGGCCAUGAUUCAGUGUCCCCAAAUUAUAAGGACGGCUGUUUCUACUCUCUAAGUGGCCUUAGGCAUAAACAAGCAUACGAUUUUGAGGUGUUGUGUCAGCUCUAGUCUACAUUAAAAUCAUACUAAAGCUCAGUAUUUAAAUUUCUGAAGAAGCCCUUUUCCAAAUUCAUGCUCUAAGGUGUCCUGUUUAUUUUUAAACUCUAACAAGGAGGGGGCGGCGGAAGUGCUUCCGGAGGUAUCUUGUAAACAAAAGCCAUAGAUGUCUUUUCUGGAGUGGUCUCGCAACUGAUCGUUCUGGGCUCACAUUUUGAAAACACCCAGUCAAGGACAAGACAAAAGCCAUCUCCUAAAGGUUCUCUUUUGGUAGAACCCGGACUACCUAUUUAAAAAAAAAAAUUGGUGUUGUCUCCUUUACUACACCAUAAAACAGCUCAGGAAUCUUUGACGUCGGAUCCUGAGGCGCCAAGCUGCCGGACAGUCGCCCACACGCCGGGGUCAGCUGACGCCGGCUCCACCUGUGCCCGGUGUCGCACGCUCCUCGGACUUCUCCGCCUCUUCACCGGCCCACAUCGAGGUUUCGAGACCGUCGGCCACACUCGCUCGGAGACCACGCUCGCAUUCAGAGGUCCCCAUCCGGAAGC